rnacentral:rRNA from 1 species
GACGAACGCUGGCGGCGUGCUUAACACAUGCAAGUCGAACGGAAAGGCCCUGCUUUUGUGGGGUGCUCGAGUGGCGAAAGGGUGAGUAACACGUGAGUAACCUGCCCUUGCCUUUGGGAUAACUUCAGGAAACUGGGGCUAAUACCGGAUAGGAGCUCCUGCUGCAUGGUGGGGGUUGGAAAGUUUCGGCGGUUGGGGAUGGACUCGCGGCUUAUCAGCUUGUUGGUGGGGUAGUGGCUUACCAAGGCUUUGACGGGUAGCCGGCCUGAGAGGGUGACCGGCCACAUUGGGACUGAGAUACGGCCCAGACUCCUACGGGAGGCAGCAGUGGGGAAUAUUGCACAAUGGGCGGAAGCCUGAUGCAGCAACGCCGCGUGCGGGAUGACGGCCUUCGGGUUGUAAACCGCUUUCGCCUGUGACGAAGCGUGAGUGACGGUAAUGGGUAAAGAAGCACCGGCUAACUACGUG